CUGGCGGCAGGCCUAACACAUGCAAGUCGAGCGCGCCUUCGGGUGAGCGGCGGACGGGUUAGUAACGCGUGGGAACGUGCCCUUCUCUACGGAAUAGCCUCUGGAAACGGAGAGUAAUACCGUAUACGCCCUUUGGGGGAAAGAUUUAUCGGAGAAGGAUCGGCCCGCGUUAGAUUAGGUAGUUGGUGGGGUAACGGCCUACCAAGCCUACGAUCUAUAGCUGGUUUUAGAGGAUGAUCAGCAACACUGGGACUGAGACACGGCCCAGACUCCUACGGGAGGCAGCAGUGGGGAAUCUUAGACAAUGGGGGCAACCCUGAUCUAGCCAUGCCGCGUGAGUGAUGAAGGCCUUAGGGUCGUAAAGCUCUUUCGCCUGUGAUGAUAAUGACAGUAGCAGGUAAAGAAACCCCGGCUAACUCCGUGCCAGCAGCCGCGGUAAUACGGAGGGGGUUAGCGUUGUUCGGAAUUACUGGGCGUAAAGCGCGCGUAGGCGGAUUAGAAAGUUGGGGGUGAAAUCCCGGGGCUCAACCCCGGAACUGCCUCCAAAACUGCUAGUCUAGAGUUCGAGAGAGGUGAGUGGAAUUCCGAGUGUAGAGGUGAAAUUCGUAGAUAUUCGGAGGAACACCAGUGGCGAAGGCGGCUCACUGGCUCGAUACUGACGCUGAGGUGCGAAAGUGUGGGGAGCAAACAGGAUUAGAUACCCUGGUAGUCCACACCGUAAACGAUGAAUGCCAGUCGUCGGAUAGUAUACUAUUCGGUGACACACCUAACGGAUUAAGCAUUCCGCCUGGGGAGUACGGUCGCAAGAUUAAAACUCAAAGGAUUGACGGGGGCCCGCACAAGCGGUGGAGCAUGUGGUUUAAUUCGAAGC
rnacentral:rRNA from 1 species